rnacentral:rRNA from 1 species
UACGUAGGGUGCGAGCGUUGUCCGGAAUUAUUGGGCGUAAAGAGCUUGUAGGCGGUUUGUCGCGUCUGCUGUGAAAUUUCGGGGCUCAACCCCGAACUUGCAGUGGGUACGGGCAGACUAGAGUGCGGUAGGGGAGAUUGGAAUUCCUGGUGUAGCGGUGGAAUGCGCAGAUAUCAGGAGGAACACCGAUGGCGAAGGCAGAUCUCUGGGCCGUAACUGACGCUGAGGAGCGAAAGCAUGGGGAGCGAACAGG